GUGCUGUCGGCUUCCUUUGGGAGGUCUAUAGGGACCGAGCUGCAGCUGUGCUGUCGGCUUCCUUUGGGAGGUCUAUAGGGACCGAGCUGCAGCUGUGCUGUCGGCUUCCUUUGGGAGGUCUAUAGGGACCGAGCUGCAGCUGUGCUGUCGGCUUCCUUUGGGAGGUCUAUAGGGACCGAGCUGCAGCUGUGCUGUCGGCUUCCUUUGGGAGGUCUAUAGGGACCGAGCUGCAGCUGUGCUGUCGGCUU